rfam:Brassica napus, WGS project CCCW01000000 data, contig: 25135
AGGCAGUGACGAUUGAGAAUGUCAUGCACCACUCUGAUUCGUGCUGAUAACUAUCUCUACCCAUAUAUUUUCUGAGCCU